rnacentral:rRNA from 1 species
AUUGAACGUUAGCGGCGCGCCUAACACAUGCAAGUCGCACGGAGUAGCAAUGCUCAGUGGCGCACGGGUGCGUAACACGUAGAUAAUCUGCCCUUCGAAGGGGGAUAACGUUCCGAAAGGAGCGCUAAUACCGCAUACAGCUGUUUCCGGUUCGCCGGAGGCAGGCAAAGGCUGGGAUCGCAAUACCAGUCGUCGAAGGAGGAGUCUGCGGCCCAUCAGCUAGUUGGGGAGGUAAUGGCUCACCAAGGCAGAGACGGGUAGCUGGUCUGAGAGGAUGAUCAGCCACACUGGUACUGGAACACGGACCAGACUCCUACGGGAGGCAGCAGUGGGGAAUCUUGGUCAAUGGGCGCAAGCCUGAACCAGCGACGCCGCGUGAGUGAUGAAGGCCUUCGGGUUGUAAAGCUCUGUGGGGAGAGACGAAAGAGCGCAGUCGAAUAGGCUGCGUGUUGACGGUAUCUCCUUAGCAAGCACCGGCUAACUCUGUGCCAGCAGCCGCCGUAACAC